UACGUAGGGGGCUAGCGUUGUCCGGAAUCAUUGGGCGUAAAGCGCGUGUAGGCGGUCCGGUAAGUCCGCUGUGAAAGUCGAGGCUCAACCUCGAAUGCCGGUGGAUACUGUCGGGCUUGAGUACGGGAGAGGCGAGUGGAAUUCCUGGUGUAGCGGUGAAAUGCGCAGAUAUCAGGAGGAACACCGAUUGCGAAGGCAGCUCGCUGGAACGUACUGACGCUGAGACGCGAAGCGUGGGGAGCAAACAGG
rnacentral:rRNA from 1 species